CCUGGAAGAUUAUAGGAGGUCCAGCCUGCCCAGUGAUAAAAUUAAACGGCCGCGGUACCCUAACCGUGCGAAGGUAGCGCAAUCACUUGUUCUUUAAAUGAGGACUAGUAUGAACGGCAUCACGAGGAUUAUACUGUCUCCCUUCUUUAAUCAGUGAAACUGAUCCCCCCGUGAAGAAGCGGGAAUAAACAUAUAAGACGAGAAGACCCUAUGGAGCUUUAAACUUAACACCACUUAUCUAAAACACUUCAUAAUAAACAGAUAAGCUUGUGCGCAUUUUAGGUUGGGGUGACCGCGGAGUAAAAUUUAACCUCCACGUUGAAAGGCCUUUAUCCUUAUCCAAGAGCCACAUCUCCAAGAAUCAACAAAUUGACAUUUAUUGACCCAAAUUUUUUUGAUCAACGAAC
rnacentral:rRNA from 1 species